GGGUUCGUAGCUCAGCUGGUUAGAGCAGCAUCCUCUUAAGAUGACGGUCGUGGGUUCGAAUCCCACCGAGCCCA
rnacentral:tRNA from 1 species